UGUCUUUCAUGUCUACUUAUCUGUCAGCAGAGAGGAUGACAAAGAGCAGUGCACUAACAGUUUAACAGCAUGGACUUCAGGGCAGGACUGCUGCUUUUAACGUUGUUUGUGGCAGGUGUUGAUAGUCAGACUAUAACACAGUCUGAACCGGUGGCUAUAAGACCUGGAGAAUCCCACAGGCUGACCUGUACAGGCUCCAACAUUGACUUCAGCAGCAACAGGAUGGCCUGGGUCAGACAGGCUCCUGAGAAAGGACUGGAGUGGGUUGCCAGUAUCAGAUAUGACAGUGCUUACAUCUAUUAUUCUCAGUCAGUUCAGGGCAGGUUCACCAUCUCCAGAGACAACAGCAAAGAGCAGCUGUAUCUGCAGAUGAACAGCCUGAAGACUGAAGACUCUGCUGUUUAUUACUGUGCUCGAGAACCACAGUGA